rnacentral:rRNA from 1 species
UACGGAGGGUGCAAGCGUUAAUCGGAAUUACUGGGCGUAAAGCGUGCGCAGGCGGUGAUGUAAGACAGGUGUGAAAUCCCCGGGCUUAACCUGGGAACUGCAUUUGUGACUGCAUCGCUGGAGUGCGGCAGAGGGGGGAUGGAAUUCCGCGUGUAGCAGUGAAAUGCGUAGAUAUGCGGAGGAACACCGAUGGCGAAGGCAAUCCCCUGGGCCUGCACUGACGCUCAUGCACGAAAGCGUGGGGAGCAAACAGG